GGACUGGUAACUCAAGGCAGUCAGGGAGAGCCUCUCUGAGGAGGGACCCUGCUGAGGCCUGAGGGCUGAGGGGGACCCAGACUCAGAAGUUCCUGGGGACAGGUGCUUCCUGAGGUGCCUACAAAGAAGAGGAGUAAAGGCAAAUUCUCAUUUCUUAAGGCUGUGCUUCCAAUGCUGCCUCCUUGGAGAUGCCCAGAUAAUUUAGCCCUGCAGACAUCCUCCUUGCCGGGAACUGAUGGCUGGAACUGUAGCAGCCAUGUUGCCACCAUGAGGGAUGACACUGCCAAGAUGCCACGGGGAAUGAGUCCAUGAGGACAUUACUGAAUCCAUGCAUUGACCACUGUAGAGCCUCCUUACCUUUGCAGAACUAUAUUUUGUGAAAUAAUAAAC